GACCUGUUGCUGGGGCAACCAGGUUCAGAAAACUAACCUCCUCUCCUUGAGCCUCAGGAGAUUAUUCGGAGAACUAACCAAUGGAGAAGACGCUUCUCUUCCUGGUCUUCUCCUCUCUCGGGCUCUCCAUGAGCCUUUGGGGUCUUUGCUCAUGGCUUCAGCCAAAGGGUCACCCAAGUGGAUUGAACCCCCGGAAGUGUGCGAUUCUUCCUCCUCUCUUCUCUGCUCUGUAAAUACAACCUUCCCAUCAUGCUGUCUUCUAGUCCCUCCCUGGAGAUAUACCCAGCGGCUGCGUGUUUGUCUCCUGGUGUUUUCAGAUGUUGCUCAAUCACUGAGCCGAGUACAGUUCUAUUGAUGAGCGUAUACAAUCUGUCCCCCAAAUGGCACACGUGUGCUUUGAGAUCAUGCCUGACCCACAACAGGUGCUUAAUAAAUGUUUGGUGACUCUGACUAGAGACACAAGUUGGAAGAAUUGGCUUCUGGAAGAUAAUUGGAAGUCAUGAGAGAAAAAUCACUAACCCGUACAUACUCUUUGAAGCAAUGGUCCCAGUUCUAGCCUUGUGCCUAUGGAAUACAAAGACCCCAAGGGACCGGAAAUGGGCACAGCAUCCUCUUGGGGUGGGUAAUGAAAAACAAAAAAAGCUGGAGAGAUUGUUGGGGCUCAGCAGUGAACCCAUGUGUCCACAGAGAGAACUGAAAACUGCCCUUUGACUUUUGGGACAAUCUGUAUGAUGGAAUAAUAUUGAAUCGUAACACAGGGAAGUGUGUGCAGCUCUGAACUUGGAAUCAGGAAGGUCUAGGUUCAAGAUGUUUCCUGGCCGAACACCCCUUCAUCUCCCUGAGUUUCCUCACCUGUAAAACGAGGAGGUGGGAACAGAGGACCUCUGAGAUCCCUCCCUGGUCCAGAUCUACCUUCCUAUAUGAAGAAUUCAGGGAAACUUGGUGAAAUAGGUAGGAACUGAGGCAGAACAAAGAAAACAGAAGCCAGAGAACCAUAGAGCCCAUCCUGAAUUCAAGGCAGGAGAACUCAUGCUAACAACCAUGACACUUGAGCCAGGAGGAUGGAUGAUGAAACCCUUCUCCAUAAAGGGAAUGGAAAGAGUGUGAAGCAGAAGGCCUGUGUUCAAAUUCUGCAGCUGCUACUAAAUGCCUCAGGCAAGUCAUUUAAAUUCUGGAGGUUUCCGGUUUUCAUCUCUAAAACCAGCUCCCUUCCAGCCCUACAUUUAGGCUCCUGCUUUGAAAUGUGUUGCCCAUAGUUCACAUAGAUGGAUCCUCUGUUUACUAUAGAGUCCAUAGAAUGUAAGAUCCGGAAAUGCAGGCUUUCUCUCCCCUGGGCCAAGCACCCAUUUCAGUCCUUCCAUGUGGGGUCUUUGGGUGUUUCUGGAAAUUCAGCGGAAACGGCGAUUUCAAAUCUACUUUGUGCCGCUCGCUGUUCCCUUUAAGUACAGAAGAAAUGGAGCCUCUGUCUUUGAAGGCUGGCUUGCCAUUCUCCUUGUUUGCUCCUGCCCCCCUCCACCUCCAUUGGAAAUGUUCCCCAUCUUCAUUUUCCGCACAUUUGGCGCUGGCCUCUCGCUUCCUCCCAACCCCACGCCCACUGGAAAGAAACAAAACCUAGUAGAGUGAAGAGAACUCCUAAACGGGCGUAGUUCAUUUAGCAAGGAGGCAGAAUUGGAAACGGAGGUCCAGGAAGGGGAAGAGAUUUGCCCAAGGGCAAGCAGGGGGUACACAGUAGAGCAGGAUUUGAAUUCCAGUCCUCCAAGUCCAUUUCUCCGUCUCCUUGCCAGCGUCCCCCGUUAAGGAGACCCUGAGGGGACGAAGUCUUGCUCCGUGUCCCUACACGGCGGCGGCUCUGGGCUGGAGGGACCAGGGAAAGGAAUUCAGGAGGAGCUCUAGCUUUCAGAGUCUUCUUGAAGGUCAGAGCAACAGGCCGCGUGGUACUGUGGGGCCUGCGGGCGAUGCCCUGGAGGGCGGCACUUCCCAGACCAGAUAGGGAGCCUGUGGACCUCGCUUUGGGGUCCCUUGGCUUUCUGCAUCCACAGCUGUAGCAAACCCCUCAGGGGGCUGCUUUGUCCCCAGACCCACCCCGGCUGCGGCAUCUCUCUCCCCUUCGGUGCCCCUCCCUCUCUGCCCCCGCCCCUGGCCCCGCCCCUCCUGGCACCCAGCCGCGCUGCUGCCGCUGCUCUCUAAGCUGGCAGCUGACGGACGCUGGGGCCACCGUGCUGUCCCCAGCUCCCGCAGCCUCCGCCUCGGCAGCUGUCUAGGGGCCGGGGAGAGAAGGGGGGGGGGGGGGUCCUCUGGUCACGUGGACUGGGGCCAGCUGUUACCUGGGGGUGGUGUGGUGAGAGAGCAGGGAGGGGGCGGGGAAGCACCCGCAGCGGCCAGGGCAGUUUUUGCUGAAGCCACUGCAGCCUGGGCUGCCGCAACAGCAGCGGCACCAGCGGCGGUAGCAGCGCCAACAGCAGCAGCAGCAGCAGCAACAGCCGCCGCCUUCUCAGCGGAGCCCAGAGACUGAACGAGGCCGGGAGAGCGCGAGCCCGCAGCCAGGUCAAAGAUCAUUUUUCUUGGAAGAGAAAAUUGCAGCAAAGUAGUAAUUGAGCAACUUGGCCUUCUCCCUGUUGUCAGUCAUCAUCCCAUCCAUUGCACACAAAGGUCCUGGCCUUUUUUUUUUUUUGAUCCUCCUUUUCCUUCCAGCAAAGCUAAAAAAAUGCCACUUUUUUGUUGACUUUGAUUUUUCUCCUGUCUCAGUUCCUUCUAAAAAGAUUUAGCAUUCCUGGCACAUUUUUACAAGGCCAUGCACUCUUUUUAUUUUCAUCUUCCAUUAUGUGAACUUGAUCAUUACUUCUCUUCAUUAUCUUUGAAAAGUCCAGUUGGCUGAUGAGUUCCCUGUACACCUGCCCCAGUCUUUUUUAUAUUAUUUUUCAUAUUUAUAUAUUUUUCUUCAUCAGAAUUGUUUUGUUUUGGUCUUCUGAACUUCAUGCUCAAGAGAUUCUCAUAUCUCGUGAAUUGAAUUUUCCUAUACAAUUUUAACCCAUGAGAUCCUAGCUACCUUUCCUAUGAACAUUUGAAAUCUGCCCUUCUGAAAUCUAGAUGAGUUGGGCAUAGUGGUAUAAUUCUGUUAUUCUUGCAUCUGGGGAGGUGGAGGAUGGUGGAUCUUGAUCUCAGGGAUUAUGCCCUACAGUGGACUGUGCUGAUUGAGUAUUUGCAGUAAGUACAGACUUAGUGUAGGGAACUCUUGAGAAUGAGGGAUGAGGAAUCAGUUUACCCAAGGAGGGGUGAGCUGAUCCAGGUCAAAAAUAGAAUAACAGAAUCUCUUGUGACAAUCACUGGAGAAUUUGGGCCUGUGAGUAGCCCAGGUACUUGCACCUUGAUAGAAGUAGAGAAGGUCAGUCUUGAAAAAAAUAUCUAAGGAAUACGUCAAACUAUUCUCAGGUUUCUUCUCUGUCAAAAAUUCUAAAAUGGUCCAGUCAUUUCCACCAUGAUUUCUAUAUUUCCAUUAAAGCAAUUGGUCCUCCUUGAUUAGAAUUGAAUCUAAAAUUUAAAAUUCUUGUUUAAUCCUUAUUCAUUCAUUCAAUAAAUAUUUAUUUCAUUCUUGAGAAUCUUCAUCAUCUUUAGAAGAAUGAAAUAAUUGUUAAGGUAAAUGAAAAAAUUAUUAAAAUGAUUCUUUUAUCUUCAGAGAUACAAUAUGUGACAGUGUGCUAAAACAAGCAUCUGAAUAAUUUGAAGUCCCUCCUCAUUACUCUAAGAGGAAAUGUGGUAUGUAGUGGAUAGAGAGCUGGUCUUGGGAGUCAGGGACAUCUAAAGGCUGGAGAGUGGAAUUCAGAUAUUGGAUAAAACAUGGAGAGAGAAUCAACACCAGACUGGAUGCAGAGAGUGAAGGUGGGGAAGGGAGUCAAAGAUGAUUCUGGGAUUUUUAACCUGACCAGAGUGGUUUGUUCAGAUUUCAGCUCUUACAUUCAUUGGCUGUGUGAUCCUGAGAAAGUUACUUAGUAUUUCAGUGGCUCAGAUAAAUCUCCAAAAUUUUAUAUUGCCAAGAAGAUGAAUUAAAUACUAUUCUGUAUGUCAGACUUAUGAUUGAUUUUUUUAGACUCUUCAUCUAUUUCUUCUUUCUGUCCUGGUGGUCUAUAGAAUACUCUGAUGACACCUUCACUUUGUUUCUACUGCCAUUAUCUUCAUCCAAAUGCUUUCCAGCAUUUUUCCCCUUCUGGUCCUUGGAUUUCCUCAUGGUGCUGAGACACCCUUCUCCUACUUUGCCUCUCUUGUUCUUUGUGAUAAACUUCUUUGACUCUCCAACUGGAGAAAAGGAAUGUUUGAUCACUUAUGAAAGAAGAUGACUUGAGGAAAGAUAAUGUAUAAUCCCAAUAAGAAAAAGGGACAAAUGUAUAUUCUUCCGUUCUUUUCACUUUCUAUACCUCAGGAAAUUAGAAACUCAUUCUGUUCUUAAACUAAGCCUGAGUACUCUGCCAUAGAUGUGAUCUCUGAGAAUAAAGGUGAUGAGAUUCCCUGAAGAGAUUAGUAAAAUUUGGCUCUCACUGUCCCACUUUCCAUUAUUAAAAAGAGAUUCCAGGCUUAGUUGAUUUCAUUGUUCAAUCUAACCCAAGAGUCCUUCAGUGUAGGACAUUAAAUGCCUCACUGUGGACACAAUUAAUCUUUUGCUACUUGGGUUUAUAAGGGAGAUGACAGGCAUGUCCUUAUCAUUUGAGUUCCAAACAGCACAGGGUUUCUGAAAUCAUGGAUUAAAGAUUAUUUGGGAUCUCAUUUCCUUCCACCUUUGGACCUUAUUUGGAUAACACUGUGAUAAAGUGGAAGGAACAAUGGAUUUGGAGUCAGAGAACCUGGGUUCAAAUCCAUGAUUGACUACAAAACAUGGAAGCAGAAACCUUGUUAAAUGUGACCAAUACAGAAAUAAUUGUGGUUUCAAAUCUUCUCCCUGGUCCCUGCUUGGUUGCAGAAAUCAGCAGAAAAAUGGGCUCCGUUAUACUCACAGACUGCUGGGUAUCUGUUGCCAACAUCACCACUGCAUUAAAAUGGACCAAGAACAUUUGGUUGUGCAGUAGGAGUCCUGAUAGGAAUGGUCAGCAGCAGCCAAUGAACAUAUGUGAGUCUUAGCAGUUUUUCUAGAGAAAGUCCUUGGCUUUAGACUCAGAGUUGGUGAGUUACUAUCUUCUAGGGAGGCAAAGAAAGCAAGGCUUAUUUUUUAUUGAUCUUAUUUUGCUGGGGACAGGAUAGUAUGAGAUAUCAAUUAUUCAUGUAAAUAAGAUAUAAAUAACCUAUAAUAUGCUUCUGUUUUUCCCCCAUGUACUUGAUGAUGGUAGAAGUAGUAAGAAGGAGGAAAAUUCCUGUUUGUGCAAAUGUGUGUGUGUGCAUGUGUGAUCAAAGAAGCUGUCCUUUCAUUGGUGUGGGAGUGCUUCCCAGUGUGGGAAGCUCCAUUCACAAAUACAGAGUUCAACCCUUGAGAUAGCUUGCAAUAGUAAGAAGAUAUGGAUAUGAAUAUGGAGUUGAAGUACCAGGGCUCAAAUCACGGCUCCAAGUUGGUACUCAUCUUUGGAGCUCUUCUAGGAUCCAAUCUGGUUGAUUGAUGGCUAUGCAAACUAGUUUACGCAGACCUUCUGUGUCUACUGGCUGACUCUGGACAUAGACCAGGCUUUAGCUUCACAUGCUAUCCAGACAGCUCAUCAUCUCCUCUGCAGUAGCUGUCCUCUUCCCCCUCAAACCCUACAGAACAAAGCUCUCAUCCCUGAUCCAGU